rnacentral:ncRNA from 7 species
GCUUGUAGGACGUUCAGUUGGUAAAACGCAAGGCUCUUAACCUUGUGGUCGUGGGUUCGAGCCCCACGGUGGGCG